rnacentral:rRNA from 1 species
AGAGCGAACGCUGGCGGCAGGCCUAAUACAUGCAAGUCGAACGGACCCUUCGGGGUUAGUGGCGGACGGGUGAGUAACACGUGGGAACGUGCCCUUUGGUUCGGAACAACUCAGGGAAACUUGAGCUAAUACCGAAUGUGCCCCCUCCUUUGAUUAGGGGGGUGGGAAAGAUUUAUCGCCAUUGGAGCGGCCCGCGUCUGAUUAGCUAGUUGGUGGGGUAAAGGCCCACCAAGGCUACGAUCAGUAGCUGGUCUGAGAGGAUGAUCAGCCACACUGGGACUGAGACACGGCCCAGACUCCUACGGGAGGCAGCAGUAGGGAAUCUGCGCAAUGGGCGAAAGCCUGACGCAGCCAUGCCGCGUGAAUGAUGAAGGUCUUAGGAUUGUAAAAUUCUUUCAGCGGGGACGAUAAUGACGGUACCCGCAGAAGAAGCCCGGCUAACUUCGUGCCAGCAGCCGC